CCCCCCCCCCCCCCCCCGAUCAAACCCUCAUUUCUUCCAGAAGCUUCCACGGCCAUCUCGCUGUCGCUCUGACCUCCCACACUCUCGGCUGAAUCUCUUCGCCGAGGUCGUUGGUGGAGGAAGCGGCCAUGACGGGGCCGAGGGCGGCGGUCCUCCUUGCCGUCGCUUCCCUCUCCUGUCUCCUCUCAUCGCCGGUGGUCUCCGCAGCCUCGGGAGCAGAGGUGGCCGGCGGGGCGGCUCGUCGGAAAAUCGAGCGCAUCGCAGGAAGUGCUGGUGAUGUGCUAGAAGACAAUCCUGUUGGAAGAUUAAAGGUUUUCGUCUAUGACUUACCAAGCAAGUACAACAAGAGGAUUGUCACCAAGGAUCCACGAUGCCUCAAUCACAUGUUUGCCGCUGAGAUAUUCAUGCAUCGUUUCUUGCUCUCUAGUGCGGUGCGAACACUCAACCCAGAAGAGGCUGAUUGGUUCUAUGUGCCAGUUUAUACUACUUGUGAUCUUACACCUGCUGGACUUCCACUGCCAUUCAAGUCUCCAAGGAUGAUGAGAAGUGCAAUCCAGUUUAUUUCAAACAAGUGGCCUUUCUGGAAUAAAACUGAUGGAGCUGAUCACUUCUUUGUUGUACCACAUGAUUUUGGUGCAUGCUUUCACUAUCAGGAAGAAAAGGCUAUUGAACGUGGAAUUCUUCCAAUGCUCCGCCGUGCUACAUUGGUCCAAACAUUCGGACAGAAGAACCAUGUCUGCCUGAAGGAGGGUUCCAUCAUUAUACCACCAUAUGCACCUCCACAGAAAAUGCAGGCUCACUUGAUUCCCCCUGACACUCCCCGUUCAAUCUUUGUUUACUUCAGGGGCCUGUUCUAUGACAAUGGCAAUGACCCUGAGGGUGGGUACUAUGCAAGAGGUGCCCGAGCUUCACUAUGGGAGAACUUCAAGAACAAUCCUCUCUUCGAUAUCUCCACUGAUCAUCCUUCCACUUACUAUGAAGAUAUGCAGCGUGCAGUCUUCUGCUUGUGUCCCUUGGGAUGGGCACCAUGGAGCCCAAGGUUGGUGGAGGCCGUGGUUCUUGGCUGCAUUCCAGUCAUCAUAGCUGAUGACAUUGUUCUACCAUUUGCUGAUGCGAUUCCAUGGGAGGAGAUUGGUGUUUUUGUCGACGAGGAGGAUGUUCCAAAGCUAGAUUCAAUCCUGACUUCCAUUCCAAUCGAGGAAAUUCUGAGGAAGCAAAGUUUGCUCGCCAAUCCAUCUAUGAAGAAGGCCAUGUUGUUCCCACAGCCAGCCCAGCCAAGGGAUGCGUUCCAUCAGAUCCUAAACGGCCUUGCUCGCAAGCUGCCACACACGCAGGAUGUAUACUGCAACCAGGAGAAAAGCACCUCAACUGGACCGCUGGGCCUGUUGGAGAUCUGAAGCCUUGGUAG